rnacentral:piRNA from 1 species
UGGGAAGUUUCCCGCACACAGACCUGUAC